AGCGCAGGCGGGAAGGCAAGUUGGAAGUGAAAUCCAUGGGCUCAACCCAUGAACUGCUUUCAAAACUGUUUUUCUUGAGUAGUGCAGAGGUAGGCGGAAUUCCCGGUGUAGCGGUGGAAUGCGUAGAUAUCGGGAGGAACACCAGUGGCGAAGGCGGCCUACUGGGCACCAACUGACGCUGAGGCUCGAAAGUGUGGGUAGCAAACA
rnacentral:rRNA from 1 species